AUUGAACGCUGGCGGCAGGCCUAACACAUGCAAGUCGAGCGGAUGACGGGAGCUUGCUCCUGGAUUCAGCGGCGGACGGGUGAGUAAUGCCUAGGAAUCUGCCUGGUAGUGGGGGACAACGUUUCGAAAGGAACGCUAAUACCGCAUACGUCCUACGGGAGAAAGCAGGGGACCUUCAGGCCUUGCGCUAUCAGCUGAGCCUAGGUCGGAUUAGCUAGUUGGUGAGGUAAUGGCUCACCAAGGCGACGAUCCGUAACUGGUCUGAGAGGAUGAUCAGUCACACUGGAACUGAGACACGGUCCAGACUCCUACGGGAGGCAGCAGUGGGGAAUAUUGGACAAUGGGCGAAAGCCUGAUCCAGCCAUGCCGCGUGUGUGAAGAAGGUCUUCGGAUUGUAAAGCACUUUAAGUUGGGAGGAAGGGUUGUAGAUUAAUACUCUGCAAUUUUGACGUUACCGACAGAAUAAGCACCGGCUAACUCUGUGCCAGCCGCCGCCGUAA
rnacentral:rRNA from 1 species